rnacentral:rRNA from 1 species
CCUACGGGUGGCAGCAGUGAGGAAUAUUGGUCAAUGGACGAGAGUCUGAACCAGCCAAGUAGCGUGAAGGAUGACUGCCCUAUGGGUUGUAAACUUCUUUUAUAUGGGAAUAAAACGUUCCACGUGUGGGAUUUUGUAUGUACCAUAUGAAUAAGGAUCGGCUAACUCCGUGCCAGCAGCCGCGGUAAUACGGAGGAUCCGAGCGUUAUCCGGAUUUAUUGGGUUUAAAGGGAGCGUAGGUGGAUUGUUAAGUGUGUUGUGAAAGUUUGCGGCUCAACCGUAAAAUUGCAGUUGAAACUGGCAGUCUUGAGUACAGUAGAGGUGGGCGGAAUUCGUGGUGUAGCGGUGAAAUGCUUAGAUAUCACGAAGAACUCCGAUUGCGAAGGCAGUUCACUGGACUGCAACUGACACUGAGGCUCGAAGGUGUGGGUAUCAAACAGGAUUAGAUACCCUUGUAGUC